GUACUCAUGCAUGAUCCAAUUGGUUUUGAUCCCUUUUGGGGGCUUCCCACCAUAGAAAACAAGAGCUUUCUUGACGCCGACCUUUUGAGUACCACCGGAGGUUAAUACUGGCUUAUCAGUUCCGGUGGCCUUCCAAUACCCUGAAGUUGCUGCCCUGUUUGGCCUCACACCGUUGGGGUACUUCCGGUCUCUUGGACUAAAAAAGUACCAUUCUUGCUCGCCAAAUGUCGCCUUCGCCGGUAAUUCCCAGGGAUCAAACUUGUAAAGAUCAACUUCUGCGAUAAUUGCUACCGGAAGAGGAGCAGAGGCGGCCUUUUUCUUAAGGUAAUGAACCACUAGCUCUUCAUCGGUAGGAUGGAACCUGAACCCCGGUGGAAGGUUGGGCUGUUGAGAGGCGGACGACGAGUCGGUGCUCUCCAUUAGGUAUGGGACGGCCCUUAAUUAGAAGUGUUGAAUUGGAGAGAUUGAGAAGUGGGAUUUGGAGGAGUUUUGAGAGAAGAG
rnacentral:misc_RNA from 1 species